AACAUUGUGCAGUGGCAGUAUCGUAGCCAAUGAGGUUUAUCCAAGGUGCAAUUAUUGCUAAUUUUCAACAUUGUUUUAGCUCCACUAACACACACACCUAUCAACACGUGCUUUAGGUUUAGUUUAUCAGUUUCUGCUAAGGA